rnacentral:rRNA from 1 species
GACGAACGCUGGCGGCGUGCCUAACACAUGCAAGUCGAACGAGGUAGCAAUACCUAGUGGCAGACGGGUGAGUAACACGUGGUCAACCUUCCCUAGCGUGGGGGAUAACUAGCCGAAAGGUUAGCUAAUACCGCAUAACAUCCACGAGCGGCAUCGUUUGUAGAUCAAAGGAGCAAUCCGCGCAAGGACGGGACCGCGUCCCAUUAGUUAGUUGGUGGGGUAAUGGCCUACCAAGACUCCGAUGGGUAGCUGGUUUGAGAGAGCGACCAGCCACACU